AUGCUUACUGGACAGGGGAGAUACCAUGAUCACAAAGGUGGUUUCCCCAGGGCGAGGCUUAUCCAGUGCACUACGAUGUGCUGGCCCCUGCAAAUUUCCCCAAAUGUGGGAAACUCGACUGCAUAAUUUGUAGUAGUGGGGGACUGAGUUUGCGCUUUCCCCUG